UAACUGCGCGUCAUAGUGUGAACUGCAGGACACAUUUGAACAUCGACAUUUCGAACGCACAUUGCGGUCCGUGGAGAAACAUCCAGGACCACUCCUGUCUGAGGGCCGGCUGUAUAAAAACAAAURCCACACUGUUCAAUUGUUGUUGUUGAACACAUGACGGUUCCGCGCCUACUCUGAAAAGACGAAGCGAACGGUCCGUUCAAAAAUAUUCAUUCACUCACUCGACAAUGAUUACGAUCGAACGACGGUACGCGUCGUCCGAGCGCGCAAGAGCCUCCUCGCUCCUGCGACCCUUCGGUGUGCGUUCGCCCAUAUAUUGUCAUGAUAAUGGGCGUUUGCGCUAAGGGGGCGAGCGUGAUAACGGAGUUACUUGGUGUGUAUCUUGUGCGCUCGUGGACGCGUACGUAACGCGCGCACGAUCUAUUAUAAUUAUUGUACCUGUGACAAUAAAUAAGUAGGCGGACUCGACGUCCGAAGUGCGUUUCGACGCCGUCGUCGCAUAAGUGCGAUCGUACGGCGUCGUAUCGCUGACGGAUAUCGCGUCUGCCUCGAUUUUUUAUCGUUGGCCUCAGAUCAGGGAGGAUCACCCGCCGAAUUUAA
rnacentral:rRNA from 1 species